rnacentral:rRNA from 1 species
AGAGUUUGAUCCUGGCUCAGGACGAACGCUGGCGGCGUGCUUAACACAUGCAAGUCGAACGAGCAGAUUUUCAGCACUGAAUGCUUGAGGCAUUAACUUCGAGCGUCGUGACGACGAAGUCGUCACCAUACUUUUUAUUAGUGCUUAACUUAACUGGACGGUUGAGUAGGAAUCGAGCAUUGAGUGCUGAAAAGAUGCGAGUGGCAAACGGGUGAGUAACGCGUAGACAACCUGCCGCAAAGAUGGGGACAACAGUCCGAAAGGACUGCUAAUACCGAAUGUUGUCAAGUUUCCGCAUGGGAGCUUGAUUAAAGAUGGCCUCUACUUGUAAGCUAUCGCUUUGCGAUGGGUCUGCGUCUGAUUAGCUAGUUGGUGGGGUAACGGCCUACCAAGGCGACGAUCAGUAGCCGGUCUGAGAGGAUGAACGGCCACAUUGGAACUGAGACACGGUCCAGACUCCUACGGGAGGCAGCAGUGGGGAAUCUUCCGCAAUGGGCGAAAGCCUGACGGAGCAACGCCGCGUGAGUGAAGAAGGGUUUCGGCUCGUAAAGCUCUGUUGACGGGGACGAACGUGCGGGAUGCGAAUAGUUUCUUGCAAUGACGGUACCCGUCGAGGAAGCCACGGCUAACUACGUGCCAGCAGCCGCGGUAAUACGUAGGUGGCGAGCGUUGUCCGGAAUUAUUGGGCGUAAAGGGAGCGUAGGCGGAUAUGUAAGUCCUUCUUAAAAGCGUGGGGCUUAACCCCAUGAGGGGGAGGAAACUAUAUAUCUUGAGUACCGGAGAGGAAAGCGGAAUUCCCAGUGUAGCGGUGAAAUGCGUAGAUAUUGGGAGGAACACCAGUGGCGAAGGCGGCUUACUGGGCUUUAACUGACGCUGAGGCACGAAAGCAUGGGGAGCAAACAGGAUUAGAUACCCUGGUAGUCCAUGCCAUAAACGAUGAGAGCUAAUUGUUAGAUUUCUUCGGAGAUUUAGUGAUUGAGUUAACGCGUUAAGCUCUCCGCCUGGGGAGUACGGUCGCAAGAUUAAAACUUAAAGGAAUUGACGGGGACCCGCACAAGUAGUGGAGCAUGUUGUUUAAUUCGAU